rnacentral:rRNA from 1 species
GACGAACGCUGGCGGCGUGCUUAACACAUGCAAGUCGAACGCUGAAGCCCUUUCGGGGGUGGAUGAGUGGCGAACGGGUGAGUAACACGUGGGUAAUCUGCCCUGCACUCUGGGAUAAGCCUUGGAAACGGGGUCUAAUACCGGAUAGGACACAUCGCCGCAUGGUGUGUGUGUGGAAAGUUCCGGCGGUGCAGGUUGAGCCCGCGGCCUAUCAGCUUGUGGUGGGGUGAUGGCCUACCAAGGCGACGACGGGUAGCCGGCCUGAGAGGGUGACCGGCCACACUGGGACUGAGACACGGGCCAGACUCCUACGGGAGGCAGCAGUGGGGAAUCUUGCGCAAUGGGCGAAAGCCUGACGCAGCAACGCCGCGUGGGGGAUGACGGCCUUCGGGUUGUAAACCUCUUUCGACCGGGACGAAGGGUGACUGACGGUACCGGUAGAAGAAGCACCGGCUAACUACGUGCCAGCCGCCGCCGUAA